rnacentral:rRNA from 1 species
GAGUUUGAUCAUGGCUCCAGGACGAACGCUGGCGGCGUGCUUAACACAUGCAACGUGGAGCGACGAACCAGGCUUCGGCCUGGGGCAAAGCCGCGAACGGGUGAGUAUCACGUGGGUAACCUGCCCCGAUGACCGGGAUAACCCGAGGAAACUCGAGCUAAUACCGGAUGUGCUCGCGGCACAUCAGUGCAGUGAGUAAAGGAAGCUUCGGCCUCCGCAUUGGGAU